ensembl:lncRNA
CUUCCAUAUAAUUUCUUGCAUUCAAAUACACUCACUAGGCAUUUGCUUAGAGAAAAUGUAUUAUGUGAGGAUGAAGAGUUUUUAAUCUGCAGAGGGUCCUAUGCUAUUGAAGCAGCUACUGUCAGUUGCUGAGUAACAGAGAAAAGAAAUCAGCUCACUCUUCACUGCAAGAUCCUGCAAGGGCUAGUCAUGCUCCAGGAGCAUCUCUCUGGAAGGCAGUGAAGCAUGGCCACGGGUGUGGAGUGUAUGCUGUUCCUGGGUUUGGCAUGUUGUGUUCUGAAUUGGUUAUUCCACUAGAGGCUUAGACUGAAAUCAAAACUCUCCACAUUUGUCCUGGUUCAGACUGGAAUAGAGGGGGGUAUGUUCCUUAUUUCUCAAAAGAAAUGCAUCCCGACAGGAAAGUUGCCAAGGAAUAUCAAAGAUGUAGAUGAGCCUUUGACUGAAUAAACACUGGAUAAGUUAGAUAUUUUUGGUUAGGAUGGAAAAACUGAGAAGUCAUUUGAUAGAUUAACAACAGCAAGAAGAAUAAAGAUGGAUUACUUGUUCCUAUACCAGAUAAAACUGUCAGAAGGCAGAGUCAAAACAAACAGGAGAUAUCUCACAAGCAUCAU